AUGGUUGAGGUUGGAAGGGACCUCUGGAGAUCAUCUGGUCCAACCCCUGUGCCAAGCAGGGUCACCUAAUUCCAUCCUGAAUCUCUUCUGGUUCAUGCUUCUUACCCUUUUGGCUUUAAUGUUUCUGUCUGGAGACUUGCAUUUGGUUUGAUGUUCACCUUGGGUUUGGUGUUUUCUUCCUUUCCUUAUUUUGGCUUCUUCAUCCUGUCUGUCACUUUCCAGCUUUGUUUUGAGCUGGUGCUGGAAAAUUCCACCUUGAGCAGUAGGUGGAGGUGCACCUGGAUAUUGCCUUUUAUCGGCUGAGCACGUGAUGUUUCUGAGUGCAGCGCCACCACUCAGUCAUAUUUGAGCUCAUCUUCUCGUGACUGGGGAAGUUAUUGACUUUUUUUUUUUUUUCCAGAGAUGACUGAAUUUUUGGUGAAAGACAUGCACGUUGCAGGAAUUCAUGGAGAUGGAGGUUGAGUUCUUCAAGCAGAAGUAUCCCUGAAGGUCUGUAGGGGGCCGUACUGCUGAUAAAGCUGUUGGAUGGUGUGAGAAGUUGGAGGAUGAAAAACAAGGAGAGCCUUCUCUCUCUGAUCCCCUACUUGCAUGACAUGGGAAUAAUGACUGUAAAUCUUCAUCCGUGUUGCAGCUGAUAGUCCAGGUUUUUCUUGCACACCAUUCCUGGAGCUAAAAGACCAUUUCAAGCUGAGAUGCUGGCUUGGCCCAAAGCAUGGUGCUUUCUGAAAUUCGGAAGAUGCAGGUGUAAACACACUUGCUGCAAGCCUAUGAUCUUGCUCCUGGGAGCUGACUGAAUUUGGCAUGGCCCAGUCACCGCAGCUAACCUGAGCCUAGUUCUUCCAGCAUAGGUAUUUCAUGCCCAAGCCACGGUCACCUUAGCAGCCUGUAAUGAGAACAGAAACCCUGCUGUCUCCCAGGGCUUAACCCUGCCCAUUAUCUUGCAGAAGAGGUCUCGUUUCUGACCCUCCUGACUGACUUUCAAUUUCAUAUGGGGAGCUGUAUUUCCUAUUUACAGAAUGAAAAUAAAGGGUCUGCAAAGCACUGCUUGUUGGAGUCCCAAGGAACAGCAGUGGAAUGAGUAUGACCUACACAGGAAGCUCAUGGCAGGAGAACUGGGGAAGUCCGGGCCCAGGGAAGGUGAGGAACCAGCGUGUAGCACUGCCCAAGGCUGACAGCCCAUCUGAAGAGGACCCUGAGGGCACUUGCUGGAGAUCGCACAGGAACUCCUGGAAACAGACCCUGCAUCCUGCCACUGAGUGAGGCCGUGGCAGGCCCUAAGGUAGGCUGAGCUAUCCCAGCUCCUCCAGCAUCUGCCUAACAAAUAAACAAAAGUACGAGUGGAAUAGCUGGGGAGAGAGGUCUGGGGAGAGGCAUUGGAACUACACCUCAAGUCAUGCCUCAUAGCACAGACUCGCUUAUCUCGCCAGCCUUCAGUAAGUGGUGUGUGUGCACAUUAUGGAGGAAGCUGCUUAAAUGGUGGCAAAUAGUGAUUAGAAGCACUUGAGCAGGCAGUAGGAGACAUAGAAACUUAGAGGUGGCAUGGCCAGAUCUUUGAAGGUGCUGUGGCACGGCUGGUCUCCAGAGCAACUGGCUGCCCUCUUAUUAAACACUCCUUUCUGAACUGCUGCUUAAAAUUCCUAAGCAAGGACUUUGCACAAAGCUUGAGCGUAGAGUGGGGCUCGUGGGAGUUCACAUGCUUGCUGGAGCAAGAGGCACCUUCAGUAGCAGAACAAAUGAAAUAUGCUAAUUUUUAUUUUUCUCUACAGGCUUUCUCAGCUUCUCCUCAAACUCCGAAGUGUGCGGCAGUUUGACCAUCAGAGCCCAGAUCUGUGAGCAGUGAUCUGUUCUGAUCACGUUAGAUCUGAGAGAAGGGGUUUCUGACAGAUCUAAUAUUUUCAGAGCUCACUUCUCCUUCCUUCUCCCUGCCCAGCUGGGGUGUUGUUGCAAGGUGACUGUGGGCCUUUUCAGUGUUUUUUAUUUUGUGUUAUUUUAUGUUAUUUUAUGUUACGUUAUUUUAUUUUAUUUUAUUAUUAUUUUUAUUUGCCUAUGCCUAGUCUUGGGGUUCGUCUGGGAACAGCUUGCUGGAAUACUCUUAUCUGAGAAACAUCUCCUGUGAGAUACUUGUUCUCCAUGAGGAGUCUGGUAUUUCUUACCCUUUUAAAACCAGGUUUGCAGUGUAAGGGCCUGCAGAAAAUCUGUAUUUUGGCUUUUUUUAGGUAAUAUCUGCUUGCAAUUGGCUCAUACUGUAAAUACUCUUGCCAAUAAACUUGUGAGAAUCAACAGAGAGAGCAAAGUUCUGUCAUUUGGUAUAGUUAGAAACUUUCUCAACAUUUGGGUAUAACAAAUGCUGUGACAUGCUGCCAAGUUCACUGCAGAGAGUAUAAUGCUGGGAAAAGUUAUAUUUAUGUCCCCGUUACUUGUCUGGAUUGUUUUUUUUUAAGCCCCAGGUUUUGCAAGUUUUGUGUUGUGCAAAAGGAAGGAAGGUUAUCACUCUCCUUCCUAAGGUUAGAUAUCUUCCUGUCCUACAUAAUACACAUAUACCUAACACAUUGCCAUGUUCUACAUGAUGUCUCCACCACCCUUCCUUCCACCUGUCCUGUGCACCCCCCUCUGCUAUGUAUUCUGCCCCUUUUCAGUUCAGGAAGCUCAGAGGUAGCCCAUGUAUUUUUUUUUGCAGUGUGUCCUGGGCUAAGAAAUGAGUCCUAACCAGUAGCCUUGCUGACAGGUAUUGGAUGUUCUGGGCUUUUGGAGGUGGGUGCUGGCUUCGUGCUAGGGACAGCAGGUGGGGAGUAACCUUGACAUUGCAGAAUCAGGAGGAUCACAGCUGUGGGUUGCCACUGAUGAGGAGACCAAGUGCCACCUGGUGAGCAGGCCCUCUACCCCUCAGAAAAGCAGAAAGUAACAGAGGAAGGUGAAGCCACAGCUUUCUGUCUUGUGCUAAACAAGAUGUAACGCAAUGAUUUUUACAUUCCAGGGUCCUUCUGUUGUCCUUUGAUUGGCAUCAAUAGGUAGGAAAAUUGUUCUCAGUCUUCUGAAGUCUGAGAAACCUGAGGAAAAACUGGCAGACAAUUGGACUUGUAGCAGGAAAGAAAAAAAAGUAGAGUAAAGGGGUUUGAAAUCUAUUCCCACCCUCACUUCCAGUAAAAGUCUUCAGGGUAAUGUGCAGAGGUAGAGGUUUGGAAAGAAGGGACUCCGCCAUGGCAUGCAUCCUGGGACCCCUGUGAUAGCUGAAGUGAAUGGAGUUAAAUAGGAACACAGGAACAGCGUUGAUGUUGGGGCUGGAAGAUGUUUCAGGCCAGAUGGGGAUGAAGCUUGGGAAGAGCAGAUGGGUCCCUCACUUUUAUGUCUCCUGGUAGCCCCCAGAGCACUGUGGCUAUAGGGGAAAUGAGGCUGGAAAUGUCAGGGUGGGGGUUGUUAAACAGCAUCUUCCACGUCUGUGUUUCUGAGGUGUAGCCCUGAAGGAAAAAACUCCCCAGCUGAAGAGGUUGGCUCUGCUUCCUUCCUCACUUCUGUCUCAGUCACCAGCUGGAUGUUACCUGUUGGGGCCUGGGGAGCUUCCAGGCCAGGCCUCUGCCUUUGGCAGUGUGUGUAUUACACAUGCACACCCUUACUAUUUAAGCGUGGAUGGUAGCGAUGGAGAAGACACCCCUUUUUUUUAUAAGCAAGGGCCUUGGAUUAAGCAGGCAGUGGGUUCUCGCAAUGGGGAUUACUUUCGUCCUCUGGUAUCUGCACUGACUGAAUUAUUUACUUGCAAUGGUCAUUGCAUCCCUCCGCCUGGACUUCUGCCACAGGGUGAUCAUGUGGGCCUUCUGUUCCUUUGUUUUCCCAAGAAUGUCAGGGAGAGACUCGGAAAACAUUGGCCUUGGCAUAGCUGCGGUGGGACUGUGGUUGUGGGGGUUUGCAAGCAAUGGGAUGAUCCUCUCACGAUUGAUCCCAGAUCCCUUUUCAGAAUUUGGCAUCUUCCUCAAUUACCUCCCAUUCUUUGCCUGGUUCACCUUGGCUCCUCUGUACUUGGCGUUAAUACCGUUGUGUUGCAAAGAUCUCUUGUUGAAAAACGCUUCUGCGUUUCCUCACUUCACACCCUAAGUCAGUGUGGCUGCUUCCUAGAACAGCCGCACAUUUUAUGUCUUGCGUCCAAGACAUUGUGCUGUAGAUCCAUUGCUCUGCUUCAUGUCAUGAUCUUCCCCCUGGGUUUGCAGACCUGAAGAAAUAACCACCACGUUGGGACUACCAUGUGGACUAGCUCAGCCUGAAUCCAACUGGGGAGGUGCAGAGUCCUUCUGAGUUAGGCUGAGCUACAGGGAAAGGGGAAUGACAGUCUUUGACUCAGUGAGAACUUGAGCAGUGGAGUUCAGAAGAGUGCUCCCUGGCCACGCAGCCAGAGGAAGGGUGGGAUUUGUGCCCAAGGUUAAUAAACAGAAUUAAGGUAGGUUGGCCAGUGUGUUUUUAGGAAAAGGAAGGAAAACAGGACUUUCCAGCUUGUACCAGGUAUGUGUGCUUGCAAGCAAAUGUGAGAUGUCUGCGAAGUUUUAUAGGACUGGUCUGGUCCUAUUGGUCUCAGAGAGAAGUCUAUGAGUAAAGGUGAUGAAAUACAAGCGUGGUUCUGUACACACCCUCACCCCUUCUGUUUUUGUCCACUAUAAGUGCUGUAUCCCUACGUACGAAGCACGGAGCUUGUGGUAGGUGCUGUUCAUUUCAGUGGCUGAGCAGCUUUUCCUGGCUGUAACAAGGGUUAGAUUUGAACAAUAACCUUGAUAAGCAUCAUUUUCAGUACUUUUUAAAGUACAUCACAGUGCUUUAUAUCUCCAAACUGGCAUGAAUCAGAACAGCUCCCAGGCCUUGCAGCCUUAUGUAUUGCUCUGACCAGGAUCCUCUCAUCUAGGAAAUGGAGGCCAGAUCGCCUUACCUCACCGAGGCCAUAUGGAGGCUGGUGGCAGCGCUGUGUAGUACAAAAUGCACGAGGCUGGGAUUUGACAGAUCCCAGGUCUCAGCCCUGCCAAUGGUUGCCUGAAAGCCCCAGGCAAAUCGUCUCACUUCUUUCUUCUGUUUCUCUCCAUUUGCUUGUACUGGGAGCUCCAUGAGCCAAGGAUUGUCUCAUGAAAACAGCAGCUAGCCAACCACCCUCAUCUUAGGGCUUCGUUCCCAAAUGUCUACAUGGUCCGGAACUCCUCAUGAUACUGAGACCGGCUAUUGAUUUACUUCUGUUUGUUUUCCUUUUUUAAUUUCCAGAAUCUCUAAUGUCAACUGUUUGAUGACUGAAUGACUCCUAGAGUGGCAGGAUGCUGUCACCACUGAAAUCCAGAGGUGAAGACUUCACAGCAGAGGACAGCUUGUUGUGGGGGUUGGCUGGCUGGUGGUUCUCUUGAGCACGGCAAUGGCCUCCUGGAGGGACUUUCCCCCUAGGGAUGAAGGGAAAUAUGCUGGGGGGAGAAAGAAAGAAAUAAUGAUGGAAUUAAAUGAGUGGUAUGGAGGCUUGUUUCUGGUCUCCCUCUCCUGAAGCUGGGCCCUGAUUCAAAACUCAUUCAGUGUAUUCAGCUACUUCGCAUGUUCUUGAGCAUUAACCUUCAGUUGAACUAGAAGCUCAAUAAAUGGGCAUUUUGAUGGCUCCCUGAAUUCACAGUUUGCUUCUCCAGGAAAGAUCUAAUCUUCAAGAAGGAUGUUGAAGAUUACACAGGACAAGUCUUCGCUCAGUGCAAGCUGACUUAGCCCAGUGAACUCCAAAUGAUUUGUGGUGUCGUGGGACCUAAGCACUGUGUCUGCAAAUGCUGUACUCCCAGAGAAGGAAGAAGCUCUUGAUGCUCAGAGCUUCAAAUUGCUGUGUGACAUGAAUAACUGGACCUACACAGAGGGAAACAGUGGCUUUAAUGCACUAGUUUCCUACCCAGUGCUUUUUUCUUUAUUUUUUCCCCCUCAUCAAAGCAAAGCAAUGUUUUGUCCUGGAAUUUGAAGGAAAAUCGGGAGAUGGCCUUGGGAAUAGUUUAAAUGAAUACUUUUGGAGAAGAAACACAUUUUUCCCUAGGGAGCCAACAGUGGGUUCAAGGGACAUACCCUUGAAAGUUAUGGAGAGCUAAGGAGUUGGUCCCCCUUCUGCUGUUUGCAUCAAGAAAACAUUACCCCACCUGGCAAACUGACUUUAUGUGGUUGCCUGUGUGUUUUCAAGCCCAGAACUGGAGUGCUGGACUGUAGCGCCUGCAGGCUUCUUGCUCUGUACAGACUGUGCUCAGUACAGCGGGACUCCUGAGCAGAUAAUGCUGCUUGAUGCUGAAGUGGCCAUGGCAUGCCUGAAAUGACUGCCUCAAGGCUUGCUUAACUGCUCUCUAUUUUUGUAGUGAAGUGCAGCCAUUUUGUAGUGAGGUGAAGCAAAUAAGGCCUGCUUGUUGUUGAGUGAUUUCCUAAUAGGUAAAGAACUGUUGGGUUGGAGUCCUGAAGUUUAGCGGACAGUAGCUAAGUGUCUGGUGGAAUACUUUGACCUGACACAAAAUGGUUCAGGAUGACUGGAAAGAAAGCAUCAAGUGUCAGUGCGGUGAACUAAUUCCACAUCUAGCUGCCUCACUUCUCUUUAUUCUGUCCCCUCUGAUAUUAGAGCUCCCUGGCUUUCGAAAAGAGGAAGUGUUGAAGUCGUAAUUUCGCUCUAAAUGAGACCGCCUGUUUGACCAGGAAGGAGCUGUUUCAAACAUCUCCGUGGUAAUUUAGCUUGUUAAUUCUUAAAGAUUUUGUCUCCCCCAAGAGAUCUCAGAAUAAUUUGUAGAUUUUGUUCAAGUUCCAGCCUCUGGAUUGACGUGAAUGUAUGCAAAUCCUGCUACUUCUUAUACUGUGUUUGCUUCUGGCUGCCAGUUUCGCAGAGGAAAACCGGAAAAUUUAACGCUGAUUUAUGAUUGAUAUAUUUAAAAAAGAAUAAUAAUAAAAAUGCAGAUAGAAAAAGCAUUUAGAUUGUGUUGCCUUUAAAACCCAAGAUAUUUCAGAGGUAAUGUCCUAGCUUUGGGGAGCAUAAUUACUCAUUUUUCAACAUCUGAGGCUUGCUAUCUUGUUGCUUAGAGACAGAAAAAAAUGUUGUCCCCUUUGCCAGCCCUGGUUUCCACCCCGAGUGCCUUGCAGAGAUUAGAGCUGGCUUUCCAGCCCUGGAGGAACCAGAGCGGGGCUGGGCUAAAUGAAAUUAUCAUUAGAUAAAUUCAGAUAGUGGGUUGGAAUGGAGGUAGCUAGAUAACAUCCAAGGGACUGCAAUACCGACGAUUAUUUUGGGAAGUGUGACUGAAUUCUCUAACUCUCUGCCCGGAGAAUAGCUCUACAUACAAGUUAGGAACUGUGAAAGCUGAGAGCAAAAGACAA